UACGGAGGGUGCAAGCGUUAUCCGGAUUUACUGGGUUUAAAGGGUGCGUAGGCGGCUUUUUAAGUCAGCGGUGAAAUCUCCGGGCUCAACCCGGAAAUUGCCGUUGAUACUAUUAGUCUUGAAUUAAGUUGAGGUGGGCGGAAUAAGUCAUGUAGCGGUGAAAUGCUUAGAUAUGACUUAGAACACCGAUUGCGAAGGCAGCUCGCUAAACUUAUAUUGACGCUGAGGCACGAAAGCGUGGGGAUCAAACAGG
rnacentral:rRNA from 1 species